GCGGGUAUCGUAUAGCGGUAAUACCUUAGCCUUCCAAGCUAAAGACACGGGUUCGAUUCCCGUUACCCGCU
rnacentral:tRNA from 3 species